UCUGGCGGCCUUAGCGCGGUGGUCCCACCUGACCCCAUGCCGAACUCAGAAGUGAAACGCCGUAGCGCCGAUGGUAGUGUGGGGUCUCCCCAUGCGAGAGUAGGGAACUGCCAGAU
rnacentral:rRNA from 1 species